CCCAGGCUGCAUGUCUCUACAGCCCCUGGCAACACCGGCCCUUCUCUACAGCCCCUCACGCUUUGAGCACCCGCCCCACACCUCCUUUUGCUCACACCCUGUGCCUCCAACCCUCCCCCACCCCCACCCCUCCUCUGGCUUCCCCCCUCCCCCCGCCCCAGGUCCUGGUUCAUGCACAGCCAACUCUCUGCUUGUCACAGUCCGAUCAAUUCAUUCCUUUAGGGCUGUUAUAAGAUGAUAAUUAUUUAAUACAAUACUUGCCUUGAAAACUAUAUUCACAUCUUAAAGAGAGCUCUAGUGUCGUAACCAGAGGAGGGAGCUGGAAUUGCCAUGGAGGAGGAUGUUGCCGAUGAGAUAUGCCCAGAGUCGCCUUGGUGCCCUAGAGAAGGAGUUUCUUUUUCAUUGCAAGCCAGGUAACUCCUCUUGGGCUGUUGACAAAUUAAGCCAUCGGCCUCCUGAGUCAGUCCCUAGGCAACUCAGUUACUUUAUUUUAUUUAUUUAUUUUUUUGUCUUUUGUAUUUUAGGGCUGCACCUGCAGCAUAUGGAGGUUCCCAGGCUGAGGGAUGAAUCAGAGCUAUAGCUGCCAGCCUACGCCAGAGCCACAGCAAUGCUAGAUCCAAGCCGCAUCUGUGACCUACACCACGGCUCACAGCAACGCUGGAUCCUUAACCCACUGAGUGUGGCCAGGGAUCAAACCCACAACCUCAUGGUUCCUAGUCAGAUUCAUUUCUGCUGCACCAUGACGGGAACUCCCAACUCAGUUACUUUAAAUUGACAACUCUACAUUAUGAAAUUUUGUUUUUUCCCUGCUGCGUGGGAAUGAAGUUCUGGAACAAGAUGAGAUGGGUGAUUUUUAUUUUUUAAUCAAAGAAAUUACUUUUGGGGGGUAUAGUUUGAGUUAUAGAUUCUGACUGCACUGUGACACCCACCUUCCAGAUACUUUGUAGAGCGUAGUAAGAUCUCUCUGAGCCCCAGAGCCUGCUGUUUGGCACACAGUAGGUCUUCAGUAACUGCUGGCUCCCACACUCUCUCUCUGGCUCCCUUCCCCUGGUAUCCUGUACUCCCACCCUGCGCUUGUCCUUUAACAAGUUGUACCAACACCCUCUGGCUGUCAUUCUCCCCAGGCCCUGGGGGUGGUUAGUGUGAAGAGCAGCAAGGCCGAGACCUGGAGAGAGGGUUGAGGGGGGUUUUCUCGGGCCCGGAGCCGACUCUGCUGGGGCACUUAGCAGCUGGAACUGAUGCCGCCUCAGGAAGUGUCCUUCUGCAAUGCCUGAUGGGAGCUGAUGGAUGAUACCCACAGGUUCUGGCUCCUUCACUCUUCAGUCUGCACUGCCCCAAAAUGGAAGCCACUUGAUGGCCACGAAACACUUGGAGUGUGUACGGUCCGGAUUGAGAUGCUGUACAUGUAAAAACACCCCAGAUCCUGAAGACUUCAUGAAAAGAAAGGCCACACCCACAGCAUGUGGAGGUUUCCAGACUAGGGGUCCAAUAGGAUCUACAGCUGCCGGCCUAUACCACAGAUACAGCAACACCAGAUCCGAGCUGCUUCUGCGACCUACAUCACAGCUCAUGGCAAUGCUGGAUCCUUAACCCAAUGAGCGAGGCCAAGGAUGGAACAUGCAACCUCAUGGUUCCUAGUCAGAUUUGUUUCCGCUGCACCACGAUGAGAACUCCUGUACUUGUAGAAGAUACAAUGCUCUUGGGUCAGAGACAAAGGAUAGUUUCUUUCUCACAGCAGUGGCAGUAGCCAGAGUAUCAUUGUAUUUGUACCAGUUUGUCAAGCUCCAAUCCCACAGGCCAAUAUGGAAAGACCUGUAACAUGUAGUGUAUUGUGUUAUAGGAGAGAAAUUCAGACCUUAGAGAGCUUGGAUCUCUGAUGCAAAGGGCAGCAAGCAAACCUGCCAUUUACUCUGGAAGAAGACACAAUCUCUAUCUUUCAGACUGUUAACUAUAUAAACCUACUUAAAAAGAAACUCCCCCCAAAAAAGAUAGUCAGUGCGCUACUUGCAAAAUACGCAGAAAGGUAAGAUACCUGUGGAGAACUGUCUACCAACAUUCUCAUUUCCCUCGUCUUCUUUUCUUAGACCAUACAUUUCGCUUUGGGGGUGUUAUAUUUCUACAGACUAAUUUAACAUAUAUUGUUAAAAAGCCAACAUCAGUCCUUAACUCACUGUAAUUUUCUAAAGGACUUAUCGUUUCUUUAUUGGUGGUUCUUAAGCCUCACUUCUCUUCUCUGAAAAGAACCUGUUUUCCUAAAAUCAUGACAUUCAAAAUUGACUUAGAUUGGCAGUGCUAUAGAAAAGUAAUGCAGGAAUCAGGAGUUCCCAUCAUGGCUCAGUGGAAACGAACCCGACUAGUAUCCAUGCCUCGUUCAGUGGGUUGAUGGUCCGGCAUUGCCGUGAGCUGUGGUCUAGGUUAUAGACAUGGCUCGGAUCCUGUCCUUUCUUGCUGUGGCUGUGGCAUAGGCUGUCAGCUAUAGCUCCAAUUUGACCCCUAGCCUGGGAACUUCCAUCUGCCGCAGGUGUGGCCCUAAAAAGACAGACAGACAGACAAAGAAA
rnacentral:lncRNA from 1 species